AUGCGAGGACCGCCCGUGUAUGUAUGUGUGUUAUAUGAGAUGCUCGUGUGUGCACCGUGUCCGAUUUGUCUUUGCACGUUCCUCGUUUGCCAUGCCGCCGUCCCGUGGGAACCCGGAAUCCGGGAGCACCCCACCAUCCUUGCUGACACGCUCCCGUCACACUACCAUUUGCACCGGUAUCUCCGUGAGCUAUCGGAACCGAUAUGUUGUCGUGGCAUCAUUUUCGGAUAUGUUGCCGUGACACCCUUUCUUUCCACCAUGGUGACAAAUGCCUCGUAUCAUGCUCAUGUCAACAUCUUCAUAAAAUUGCAUAAAACUUGUAUAUGUCAUCCGCAUCAUGAUAACAAUAAUUAA
rnacentral:rRNA from 1 species